rnacentral:piRNA from 1 species
UGGGUGCUUGGGUUAGCUCACUCUCC